GCUAUACAUGCAGUCGAACGCUUCUUUUUCCACCGGAGCUUGCUCCACCGGAAAAAGAGGAGUGGCGAACGGGUGAGUAACACGUGGGUAACCUGCCCAUCAGAAGGGGAUAACACUUGGAAACAGGUGCUAAUACCGUAUAACAAUCGAAACCGCAUGGUUUUGAUUUGAAAGGCGCUUUCGGGUGUCGCUGAUGGAUGGACCCGCGGUGCAUUAGCUAGUUGGUGAGGUAACGGCUCACCAAGGCCACGAUGCAUAGCCGACCUGAGAGGGUGAUCGGCCACAUUGGGACUGAGACACGGCCCAAACUCCUACGGGAGGCAGCAGUAGGGAAUCUUCGGCAAUGGACGAAAGUCUGACCGAGCAACGCCGCGUGAGUGAAGAAGGUUUUCGGAUCGUAAAACUCUGUUGUUAGAGAAGAACAAGGAUGAGAGUAACUGUUCAUCCCUUGACGGUAUCUAACCAGAAAGCCACGGCUAACUACGUGCCAGCAGCCGCGGUAAUACGUAGGUGGCAAGCGUUGUCCGGAUUUAUUGGGCGUAAAGCGAGCGCAGGCGGUUUCUUAAGUCUGAUGUGAAAGCCCCCGGCUCAACCGGGGAGGGUCAUUGGAAACUGGGAGACUUGAGUGCAGAAGAGGAGAGUGGAAUUCCAUGUGUAGCGGUGAAAUGCGUAGAUAUAUGGAGGAACACCAGUGGCGAAGGCGGCUCUCUGGUCUGUAACUGACGCUGAGGCUCGAAAGCGUGGGGAG
rnacentral:rRNA from 1 species